CACAGCUCUGAGGGUGUGACACAGCUCUGAGGGUGUGGCACAUCAGUUUGCACAGGCAGGACAAGCAGGCCGGGUUGCAGAUUUUUCCUGCUUGUAAGAAAUUAUAUUUGUAGCAGAGGUGGCAUUUUUUUCAUCAGAGUAUCUUCAAGGAAGGGUCCCAGCCAUUGCUGCCUUCCUGACAUCCAGUCAAUGAUGCUUCUGCAGCUGCAAAUACAAUGUAGAGAGCUGCCUCCUUUUGAAACCACUGGUUAUCUGAGAACAAACCUGUCUGGGCCUCAAAGUCCUGCAUGACACAAAGCUACAGCACCUUGAUGUACUCGUUCUCAACACACCUCAGCCAUCUACCUAAGGAAACAGAACAAAUAGUACAGGAUCUCCUGGCUGCUCCUCUGUAAUCCCACCAGUUACACUGCCUGAGGGGCACUCUUAUUUAGGAAAGAUUCAUCAACUGGGGACACAGCUUCACUAUCCAUAAUAAAUGUUCUGGCACCAAUGCCAUCUAUGCAUCUGCUUAAUCAAGGAAGACAGCCUUCAACAUGGAAGGUGGGGAAGGAUAAAAUAUAACAGAAAGGUAUUUUAAUUAAGCUACAAAAAGCUUGCUGUCUGUCUGAUCACUCUCUGAGAGGCCAGUCAGGUGUGGCUGAGGGACAGCAGUAUUGGCUCUGUAACUCCAACUGCAAGCACUGGGAAUGUCAGGAGCAGGUAAUAGUUGCCCCAGGGCAAGUAAUGCUACACUACAUUUUGCCUCAUUUUCAAAGGAGUCUGGUUUUUUGCAGCUACACUGGAGCAUCACCAUGAUUCAAUUGUAGGGGUAAAUAGAGGGUCAGCAAACUCAGACUCCUAAAACCUGGAAUUUACCUUAGAUAUUGGUUUCUCCUUUUUCUCAAAAUUGUAUUGGGCUUUAUUUGCUUGCUUGUCUGUUUUCUUAAGGACAACAGAGGCCAUUUGAAGGUGAACGGAAAAGAUGAUGCAGAAUUCUAUCUAACUGCAAGAAAAAUCGAAGAUUUAGAUGCCUUCUCUAUAUGUAAAAAGAAACCACUGCUGAAACAUUGCUAAUAUCACUAGAUCCAGAAUAAAAUGUUAUGUAUCCCUAUGGUAUUUCAGAGGAAUGAAGGGAUAAAAUGAACAGUUUGCAAGCUAAUUCUCCAUACGUAACAGAGUAUUUGUCCAGAUUUAGACUACAAUCUUCAGGGAAGGCAGGGUGAUGCCUUAAGUUUUAGCUUUAGUAUUUUCCAGAUACUGUACUGCAUUAGUAUAUAACUCUGAACUUCAUAUAAA